AUUGAACGCUGGCGGAAUGCCUUACACAUGCAAGUCGAGCGGCAGCGCGGCCUUUGGGCUGGCGGCGAGCGGCGAACGGGUGAGUAAUGCAUCGGAACAUGCCCAGUCGUGGGGGAUAACACUUCGAAAGAAGUGCUAAUACCGCAUACGUCCUGAGGGGGAAAGUGGGGGAUCGUAAGACCUCGCGCGAUUGGAGUGGCCGAUGUCGGAUUAGCUAGUUGGUGGGGUAAAGGCCUACAAAGGCGACGAUCUGUAGCUGGUCUGAGAGGAUGAUCAGCCACACUGAGACUGGGACACGUCCCAACCUCCAAGGGAGGGCGGCGGGGGGAAAUUUUGAAAAAGGGCGCAAGCCUGAUCCAGCCAUGCCGCGUGAGUGAAGAAGGCCUUCGGAUUGUAAAGCCCUUUCGGCAGGAACGAAGGGGUGGAAUCUAACAUAGUCCGCUAAUGACGGUACCUAAAGAAGAAGCACCGGCUAACUUCGUG
rnacentral:rRNA from 1 species